rnacentral:rRNA from 1 species
UGGGGAAUAUUGGACAAUGGGCGGAAGCCUGAUCCAGCAACGCCGCGUGAGGGAUGACGGCCUUCGGGUUGUAAACCUCUUUCACCACCGACGAAGCGCCUUUUGAGGGUUGUGACGGUAGGUGGGGAAGAAGCACCGGCCAACUACGUGCCAGCAGCCGCGGUAAUACGUAGGGUGCGAGCGUUGUCCGGAAUUAUUGGGCGUAAAGGGCUCGUAGGCGGUUUGUCGCGUCGGGAGUGAAAUCCACUGGCUUAACUGGUGGCUUGCUUUCGAUACGGGCAGACUAGAGGUAUGCAGGGGAGAACGGAAUUCCUGGUGUAGCGGUGAAAUGCGCAGAUAUCAGGAGGAACACCGGUGGCGAAGGCGGUUCUCUGGGCAUGUCCUGACGCUGAGGAGCGAAAGUGUGGGGAGCGAACA